GCCAAAGGUGACCUAAUAAACAGCAUAGCAACAAUGGACCCUAGCUUCAGAAGCAACAGAUCGUGUUCCACAGGAGAGGAAGAACACCAAAGUGAUCUAGCAAGAACAGAAAGGAGAGGAGUUAAGCGUGAAGAUAACC